rnacentral:rRNA from 1 species
GACAGAGGGUGCAAGCGUUAAUCGGAAUUAUUGGGCGUAAAGCGCGCGUAGGUGGAUUAAUAAGUUGGAUGUGAAAUCCCUGGGCUUAACCUGGGAAUUGCAUUCAAUACUGUUAUUCUAGAGUACAGUAGAGGGAAGUGGAAUUUCCGGUGUAGCGGUGAAAUGCGUAGAUAUCGGAAAGAACAUCAGUGGCGAAGGCGACUUCCUGGACUGAUACUGACACUGAGGUGCGAAAGCGUGGGGAGCAAACAGG